ACCAGGUCUUGACAUCCUCUGACAAUCCUAGAGAUAGGACUUCCCCUUCGGGGGCAGAGUGACAGGUGGUGCAUGGUUGUCGUCAGCUCGUGUCGUGAGAUGUUGGGUUAAGUCCCGCAACGAGCGCAACCCUUGAUCUUAGUUGCCAGCAUUCAGUUGGGCACUCUAAGGUGACUGCCGGUGACAAACCGGAGGAAGGUGGGGAUGACGUCAAAUCAUCAUGCCCCUUAUGACCUGGGCUACACACGUGCUACAAUGGACAGAACAAAGGGCAGCGAAACCGCGAGGUUAAGCCAAUCCCACAAAUCUGUUCUCAGUUCGGAUCGCAGUCUGCAACUCGACUGCGUGAAGCUGGAAUCGCUAGUAAUCG
rnacentral:rRNA from 1 species